UGGUUACGUACUAAAUUAUUGUUGAGGAUCUCAGGUAAUCAUUGCAGUUGAAGAUUACGCCCCUGAUCAUCAUUCUCAUUUUCAAACUUGCCAUUUAUCAGAGGUUUUGGAUGGGGUGCAUUCAUGCAUUAUAUUGGAGCAAGGACCUGCCGAGGAGGGGGAUACCAUGAGGAGGCGAACCUGGUAAAAUAGGGGUGGAAAGUAUACUAUAGGAAAGACUGUGGGGUUUGUGUAUCCUUAUCCAGGACAUUGUGAAGGCUUCUGAUGCAGUUUACAAGAAGCAAUUGGUGAGCUAAUUCAGAGGUUAGGCAACGCUUGUCAUGAUUUUUUAUUUCUGAAGCCACAUUAGCAAGCAUCAUAAAUAUAACUAAAUGAUUGCUGGCUUCCGUAAUUGCCUACAUCAAUGUAAUCUUCCACACUGAAAACACUCAUUUGAGAUUUGCAAGAAGCCUGCAUACUACUUACUGUUGAUGCAUUAACAUUGCAUCCUUCAGAAUUAGCAAGCAGGGCAUAAUGUUAGGUGUC